UCAGGGUAUGGUGGUACAUGUUUGCAAUAAUCCCUGCUUCUGAAAAGAAUGGAAGGUGGAAAUUUCCUGCAUUCUUAAGUUCUGGGCUGAAGUGGGCAAAGCCUAUCUGGUGUCUGUCUUAAGUCUGGCAUUAAUAUGAUGAGUCCCUGGGACCACGGGGCCACCAGAGUGCCUAAUGAGGGGUGAAUUAGCCCAGGUCAGAAAUGGAGCAGGUCAAAGCUUCCAUACCAAUCAGAAUGGAACUGGACCUGUGAGUAACCCUUGCACUUCCUUUCUGGGUGAAAUAGCAAGAUCCAAUCUUAA
ensembl:misc_RNA Metazoa_SRP Metazoan signal recognition particle RNA